rnacentral:rRNA from 1 species
GUCUACAGCCACACCGCCCUGAAUGCACCCGAUCUCAUCUGAUCUUGGAAGCUAAGCAGGGUUGGACCUCGUCAGUACUUGGAUGGGAAAUUGAUUGAUAAUGUUGAGCCUAGAAG